GACGAACGCUGGCGGCGUGCUUAACACAUGCAAGUCGAACGGAAAGGCCCUGCUUUUGUGGGGUGCUCGAGUGGCGAACGGGUGAGUAACACGUGAGUAACCUGCCCUUGACUUUGGGAUAACUUCAGGAAACUGGGGCUAAUACCGGAUAGGAGCUCCUGCUGCAUGGUGGGGGUUGGAAAGUUUCGGCGGUUGGGGAUGGACUCGCGGCUUAUCAGCUUGUUGGUGGGGUAGUGGCUUACCAAGGCUUUGACGGGUAGCCGGCCUGAGAGGGUGACCGGCCACAUUGGGACUGAGAUACGGCCCAGACGCGUACGGGAGGCAGCGGUGGGGAAUAUCGCACAAUGGGCGGAAGCCUGAUGCAGCAACGCCGCGUGCGGGAUGACGGCCUUCGGGUUGUAAACCGCUUUCGCCUGUGACGAAGCGUGAGUGACGGUAAUGGGUAAAGAAGCACCGGCUAACUACGUG
rnacentral:rRNA from 1 species